rnacentral:lncRNA from 1 species
GGGCUGGGGUUGUAGCUCAGAGGUAGAGGGCUUGCCUACCAUGUGUGAGGCACUGGGUUCGAUCCUCAGCACCACAUAAAAAUAAAAUAAAGAUAUUGUAAAAGAAAAAGAAAAUUUCAAACAUUGACAUUGAUAUAGUAGUAAAAAUCCCCAUGGACUCCAUUACUGUACUUCAGCAGAUAACAGUCCUAGCCAUUCUUUUUUUCACCUAUAGCCUUCACCCUCACCCAGCUCCAAAUACUUAAAAUUAAAUCUCACAUGUCCUUUGAUCUGUAGGCAAAUAUUUUAGAAUAUCUCAAAAGUAUGUGUUUUUUGNAGACAAUGAAGACAAAGUAUUUCAACUGGAAAAGAACAUAGACAGCUCAGCAAGACUGUUAAGAAACCAUGAGCAGAACAUCCAAGAAAUAUGGGAUAACAUUAAGAGACCAAACUUAAGAGUCAUUGGGAUACAGGAAGGUACAGAGCUCCAAACCAAAGGAAUGAGCAGUCUAUUCAAUGAAAUAAUACAAGAAAACUUCCCAGACUUGAAGAAUGAGACAGAAUCCCAAAUCCUAGAAGCCUACAGGACGCCGAAUGUGCAAAAUCAUAAGAGAUCCACACCUAGACACAUUAUAAUGAAGAUGCCCAACAUACAGAAUAAGGAGAGAAUUUUAAAAGCUACAAGAGAAAGGAAGCAGAUUACAUUUAGGGGCAAGCCAAUCAGGAUAACAGCUGAUCUUUCAACACAGACUCUGAAAGCUAGAAGAUCCUGGAAUAACAUAUUUCAAACACUGAAAGAUAAUGGGUUCCAACCAAGAAUUGUGUAUCCAGCGAAAUUAAGCUUCAGGAUGGAGAAUGAAAUUAAAACCUUCCACGAUAAACAAAAGUUUAAAGAAUUCGCAGCUAGAAAACCAUCUCUUCAAAACAUCCUAGCCAAAGUAUUACAGGAAGAGGAAAUGGAAAAUAACAAUGAAAACCAACAGUGGGAGGUAGGACAGUAAAGGGGGGGGGAAACAAUCAAAGAGGAAAACAAACAAUGUUUAGUAACAGAAAUAAACAAAUAUGGCUGCAAGAACAACCCAUAUCUCAAUAAUAACCCUAAAUGUUAAUGGCUUAAACUCACCAAUUAAGAGACACAGGCUAGUAGAAUGGAUCACAAAACAAGACCCAACAAUAUGCUGCCUACAGGAGACGCAUUUGAUAGGAAAAGACAUACAUAGGCUGAAGGUGAAAGGUUGGGAAAAAUCAUAUCACUCAUAUGGACUUCGGAAACAAGCAGGCGUGAAGUUUUUUGAAGUUUUACCGCCAAGCCACAUUCCCAGCCGUUUUUAUUUUUUUUAAUUUUGAGACAGGAUCUCACUAAGUUGCUUAGAGUCUGGCUAAAUUGCUGAGACUGGCUUUGAACUUGUGAUCUUCCUGCCUCAGUCUCCCAAGUCACUUGGAUUACAGGUGUGUAUCACCACACCUGGCUUGAAUGGAGGAAUUUUUUUUUUUAAGUAUUUUUAGUUGUAGAUGUAAAUUAUUUAUUUAUUUUCAUGUGGUGCCAAGGAUCAAAUCCAGUGUCUCACACGUGUUAGGCAAGUACUCUACCACAGCCUGAAUGGAGGAUUUUUUAAAAAAAAAUAUUUAUUCACAAUACCUUUAUUUCACUCAUUUAUUUUUUACAUAGUGCUAAGGAUCGAACCCAGGGCCCUGCGUGUGUGAGACAAGCGCUCUACUGCUGAGCCACAACCCCAGCCCCAAAUGGAGGAUUUUUUUUUUAAAUUUUUUUUUUAAACAUUUGUUGAUUGACCUUUAUUUAUUUAUUUUAUUUAUAUGUGGUGCUGAGACUCGAACCCAAUGCUGCACACAUGCCAGGCAAGCAUGCUGAGCCAUAACCCCAGCCCCCAAAUGGAGGAUUUUUAAAAGUAGUUUUUGUUAGAAUUUCAUGACAUUAAUUUCCAGGUGCAUGCCUAUAAUCCCAGCGACUCAGCAGGCUUGGGCAGGAGGAUCAACAAGUUUGAGGCUAGCCUGGGCAAUUUAGUGAGAUCUUGUCUCUAUGUAUAAUUUUAAAAAUAGGGUUGGAGAUCUAGAGUAGCAUGUAUGAGGGUUAAUCUCCAACAUCACAAAACAAAUGAAAAACCAACUGAAGUUAAAGAGCAUAUGAUGGUCAACAAAUGAUAGUUUUUCUUCACUUAAAUUGGGGGAGGUUGAAGCCAAGUUAUAGGAGGUGAAGGAGUGAGCUUAGGUAAUGAAAAUGGUUUGAAAGAUUGUAAAGGUUGAAGAAAGCAUUGAUGUUUCUUUUACCAGCUGAAGAUUUAGUGUAUAGCUGGACAGAUAUGAUAAAUGGAACGUGGUGGGUUACUGUUUCCUUUAUAUCAAGUUCAGUUGAGAUUUCUGUAUUUUGUUUUGCCUGAGUCUUCUGCUCUACUAGAAAUAGAUGGAUGUCGUGAUGUAUUUUUUGUCAAUGCUGACUUUUAAAUUUCUGAAAAGUUGUGGUGGCUACAUGUUAGACUUCAAAAAUAAGUCAUACUUUUUAACUUGCUCACAUUAUUUUCUUUAUGUCUUGGAGGCAAACUAUGGCCCAUGGGACAAAUCUAUCUAGCCCACUACCUGUUUUUGUACUGCUUGCAAGCUAAGAAUUAUUUUUUGUUUUUAAAUGAUUGAAAAACCAAUAUCAUGUUAAGUGAAAAUUAUAUGAAAUUCAGAUUCAGUGUUCAUAAACAAGAUUUUAUUGGGACAUAGCCACACUCACCUUUUGUAUAUUGUCUUAGCUACUUUUUUGCUCUUUUUUAAAGUUGUAAAAUAUAGAUAGCACAAAAUUUACUAUCCAUUGUUCAGUGGUAUUAAUUGAAUUCACAUUUUUGUGCAUUAUUUAUGGCUGCAUUUACAUUCCAUUGACAGAGCUGAAGAGUUGGGAGGAGACGGCAUGAUUCACAAAAUAAAAAGUAUUUACUGUUUGGCCCUUGGCCAGUUACAGAAAAAGUUUGCCAAUCCUUGGUGGGCUGGCAACGUAGCACAGUAGUAGAGCCCUUGGCCUAGUGUAUAGAUAGACCAUGGAUUCAAUCCCUAGUACCGAACCCACACCCCCAAAAAAGUAUUUGCUAAUCCUUAAUCUAAAAUAAUAGAAAUAAUUUUCAAAGUGAGCAGACUUGUAAAUCUAAGGCCUAUUACUAAGAGACAAAAGUAACAAGUACAAUCUAUGGAUAAAUUUCUUUAUCCCAUUGGGUGUCUUUGUCUCUUCUGUGACAACCCCGUUAGUCAAAUUGCUGGAGAAAUUCAUUUAUCUUUUAGCUUAAUGGAUUCUGGCUCCACCAAAGAAAGUAGACAGUAAAUACAGAAUUCUUCCAACAGCUUUACUUGGAUGGGCAGGGUUUCUUCUUCAACAAAACAGGGUCUCUAGCUUUUUCUUUCUUGGUGCUUUAAGGGUUUGUUUGUUUUAUUGGGGAUUGAACUCAGAGGCACCCAACCAGUGAGCCACAUCCCCAGCCCUAUUUUGUAUUUUAUUUAGAGACAGCCUCAAUGAGUUGUUUAGCACCUCACUGUUAACUGAGGCUGGCUUUGAACUUUUGAUCCUCUUGUCUCAGCCUCUGGAGUGGCUGGAAUUACAAGCGUGGGCCACCAAACCCAACUCGAGAUGGUUGGUUGUAGCAUUGCUAAAUUGCUCAGGUUGGCCUUAAGUUUGCAAUCUUUUUGCCUUAGUCUUCCAAAUUUCUGGGAUUACAGAUGUGGGCCAUCAAGCUGGACUCUGUGCUUUACUUUGAAUAACUCCUGUGCUUUACUUUGAAUAACUUGAGGGCUAGAUAUGUGGCUCUGUGGUAGCAUGAGCACAGCCCUGAGUUCGAUAUCCAGUACUGUAAAAAGGAAAAACAAUGGAACUGAUAAAUGGUUUGCCACCAUUUGUUUAUACCUAGUACACAGACACAUUUUUUUCCUCACGAUCAUUUGAAAGUAAGUUAAGGCAUGGCAUUUUACCCCUGAAUACUUCAGCAUGUAUCUAAGAACAAGAACUUUUUCUUCUUACAUAACCAUAGUCUUUAUGCUUUAAAAAGUUCAGUUUAGGUGGUACAUGGUAGCAUAUAGCUAUAAUCCGAAUGAUUUGGAAUGCUGAGGCAGAAAGAUCACAAGUUCAAGAUCAGCCUCAGCAACUUAGCAAGAUCCUGUCUGAAAAUGAAAAAUAAGGGCUGGGGACAUGGCUCAGUGAUAGAGCUCCCUGGACUCAUUCCCUAGUACCAAAAACAAAACAAAAAGGCUAGGCCAGUUACGUUAUAGAAUGUUCUGUAAUCUUUACCUGCCUGGUUAUAUCAUCAUUAUUAAAAUCCAAAUAAACAUUUUUGGCCAAAUAUGCUACGUAGAUUAUGUGAAAUUCUGGUUAUGUCCUCAGCAGAGUCGUGAUACCAGUUUUUCCUAUCUCCCAUUUGUAACAUUUGCCUACCAAAUGAUGGAAGGCAGCAUAAUAGAGCAGUAAGGUAACAAAGGGAGUUUGGAUUGAGAUUGUUCAAGUCCCAACCUACUAUAUAGCAGCAUCAAAAUGAAUAAAAUUUAGUCUGAUUUAUAUUUGUA